UGCGAUGCUACUAGACCAUUGCUUCAGAAGUCUAGCUCUAACAAUGUUUUCUGUAAAAACUAUUGUCAAAAUGGUCAUUAAUUCUCCUCCUGUCCUAAGGUGGAAUGUCAUUACUAUUAUAAACACGACCACCUUAUUCGAGAUUGUUGACUCAUCCCCUUUGGAUUGGUGAAACUACUCAGGCUGGUGGAUCUCCUAACUCCAAAGGAGUUUUUUCUCUUCUUAGUUCAUCAGUUGCUACUGCUUCCUCCACAGAUUCUGCUUCCCUCUCAUUGAGUGACAUUGUACCUCUCCUGAAACAGGUGCAGGAUCCAACUACGAGGAUGAUUUUGGAAUAGGCUGGAAAGUGGGAAGAUAUUUAAGCUCGUUGUACUACAUCUACCUGAGAAAACUAUCUCUAUUGUCACUUUGCAACUUCUUUACUUCAGUGGCAUCUUCGACUUAGUCAUGCCUCUGAAAGUAAAGUUCAUCAAUUAGUGUCUCAUGGAUUAUUAGGAUCCAUCAAAUUUGAGUCAUUUAAAUGUCUUGAGUGUCAACUUGCUAAACAACCAGCUUUGUCUUUUACUAGUAGCACUUCUAUUACUACAUCUCA